AGUGAAGUCAAGUCCAGGCUGGGAUCUGAAACAGAAGGGACCCCAAAGGGACUGAGUUCUUUCUCCAUUCACAGGCACCCGUGGGAGGCAGGAAAUGGAGACCAGAGGUGAACCUGCAUGUUUUGGAAUGCAUUCCAUUCUAACUUAACCCCCAAGGAGCAGAAACCCAAGCUGGGAAGGAGGAGCCCCAGAAAGAGGGAGAAGGAGACUGCACUCUCUUCUCCCGCCAGAGGCCUCAAGCAGUUCUGAGCUGAAGGAAUAGAGCAGCUUCCUUGUGAGCAUUCCCCUAAUAUGUCACCUGCACCUGAAUGCAGGGCUCGGAUUCGGCUUCUGGUGGACCUGGCUGAAUCAGUCAAUAUCAGCUGGAUGAAUGAAGAACUUUUACUGAGAGGCUUUCUGGGACUCUGGAAUGCAUGGCCCAAGGAAACAUUGGGCCACGUGGAAGAAAGUCCUUCUAGGGUUAGAUUAGAUGUCCUCUUUCAGGUGAUGUACAGGCUGAGGACUUUAGGAAUUGUGGGCUAUUGCUCCUACUUGUCAUGUACUUGGAGGGCUAGGAGGAUGGAAGGGUAAGUUUUAUCAUUGUUCACCUCAUUGGCUCAUCCGGGCUGGCCUAGAUGUGCUUGUCAUGAACAGGAAGCCUGUGAAGGGAAGUGUGUGUGUGUGUGUGUGUGUGUGUGUGUGUGUGUGUGUGUCUCACGUACCUGGUUCGGGAGUCCAGGAAGGCCUUGUUGACUUGGACCUUGGCCUGACUCACAGUAUCGGAGAUGGCAGAGGUUCUGGUAGUCUGCGCUUGGGGUUGGAGUGGGGAGCAGGAAGUAGGGUGUCAGACACCACUCCUUUGCGAUGUCUUCUGCUUUUGUCUCCCUCUUUCUCGGCCAUUACCCCCACCCCUCAAAUCUGGGUAGGCAGGAGAUCAAGAUUAGGAAAGUUUCAUAAGAGUCCUUAAGGGGAAAAAGCACAGAAUGGGAAGAAUACUCUUGGAUCUUCAACAAGAUGUCAAAAUUGCUCUUUGAGAUCUCACUAGAAUGCCCAGAGAUGGGAUGAAGAGGGAGUGUGGCCACUCAGGGUGGCUUGGGCUACUGGACUGUGGGGAUUUCUCUGGUUCCUGGUGAGAUGGUCUUGUGGACUAUCUCAAGUUCAUCAAAGAGGACCCACUGAUCACCAGGACCCUGACGUACAGAAGGGGAUGGCAUGAGAGUAAUGGUGGGAUUCCCUGUUCCCUCUUGUAUUGGGGUCUGGAGCAUGGAGGACAGGAUCUGUUUUCUCAACAAGGAGAGUGUAGUGGGUUAAAUAAUGGCCCUCCCAAAAUUCACAUCUGCAUGGAACCUCAGAAUGUGACCUUAUUUGGAAGUAGGGUCUUUGUAGAUGUUAUGAAUUAAAAUGAGGUCAUACUGCCUUAGCAUCGGCCCUAAAUCCAAUAAAUGGUGGUUUUAUGAGAAGAGGAGAGGACACCCAGUGAAAAAGGCCACGCAAAGACUGAGGCAGAGAUUGGAGUGUUGCAGCUACAAGCCAGGGAACACCAAGGAUACCAGGGCCACCAGAAGCUGGAAGAAGAAAGGAAGCAUUCUUCCCUAGAGCCUUCAGAGGGAGCACAGCCCUGCCAACACCUUGAUUUUGGACUUCUAUCCUCCCGUACUGUGAGAGAAUACAUUUCUGUUGUCUUAGGCCAUCCAGUUGGUGUGCUUUGUGACAGCAGCCCCAGAAAACCCGUAAAGGGAGACACUCACCUCUUGUGGUAGAUGCUGCAGCCUGAAGCAAGAUGAGGGAAGCCAGGAGGGCUGGGAGAUGGAGAAGGACCCUCAUCACUGAAACGAGAUGCAGGAUCACACUGUGAGCCUCUCUAGAGACCAAGUGGGAGGGUUUGAACCACAGAAAGCAGAGAAAGCCAAAGGAGCACCAGACACCCUAAUAUUGGAACAGGAAAGGAGAAACCACAUUAACGAAUGAAGCAUCUACCAUACACACAGGCCUGUGCUAGGUACUGGGAGAGAUGGAAAGAGGAGAAGACAUGGUGGAAGGGAAAGAACUCAGGCUUCAGGAUCUAAGGCCCUGAGUUAUCAUUCUGCAUUUGCUCCAAUAGCUCUGUGACCUUGGGCAGGUUACUUAACAUCUCUGGGGUCCUGGCUUGCUAUGGGAGGAGGUGGGACCAAGUGAUCCAGAAUGUUCAAUUCUGCCCUGACAGCCUGUGGUCGGGAGAUGCUGUACCUGUCUUGUCACAGGUGUGAGAAACGCUGUUACCAAGGCUGGAGCCUGCCUUUGAGUUCCCCUCCCUCCUUCCCUGCAGGAUGCAUUGCUCCCUGCAAGCCAGUUUCCUCUGGCCCAGCCCCAGGAGAGAAUGCCUGAGAGGCAGACACUCAGCGCCUCCCUUCGGAAACCUGGCAGGGGCUUCCCCUUCCCUCAAAGUGCCAACUUGAUGGCAAUACUGAAAGAAAGUUAUGACAAAGCUCAGAGCUCCCCUGAGCCCACAGCUGUGCCCCAGGCUGCCUGGAAAGAUUCCAGCUCAUGGAUUAACCUCUUUGCCAUGAGCUUUAACUCUGAAUGCAAAUCUUUAGACUGAAAUUUGUGAAGCUUUGUUUUCUGAUGAGGGUCUUCACUGGGCUUAGUGGAGCAGACCCCAUACAUCUUCUGAGGAGAUUCUGGCUCCAGCCCGGGGUGGCAGCCACAGCGUGCAGAUGGAAUGAUUGUGUGUUUAGACCAUGGUCCUGAGAGGCUCCUCAGCUUUCACAAGGGCGCCUGUGCUCUCCCUGCAGCACGGCGUUCACUGGUGGAAUCCAGAAGCACACUAAGGAGAGCAGCCUCAGGUUGCCCCCCAGCCAUGUCUCCCCAGGGCUCAGCUCCCAGAGAGAAAUCAUAGUUCUGGAGCUUUGCCUGACAGACUUCCCCGUAUGUCUUGCAGACCCUCUCCAAAUCAUCUCCCUUUGGAAUAGGCCAGACCAGGAGACCUCUGUAUAUGGAUCAGGUCAUUUCAGCCUCCUUCACCCCUGCCUGCCUCCAAUUUUUCCCUCUGCCCUUUCGUGGUCCCCCUAAUAAUUUGUAUCUUGUUGUACUUUUUGCCAGCUAACUCUAGAGAAGGGGCAAGGCAUGAAUAAAUACCUCUCUGGCCAA